GCUCUUAUACAUGCUGCCACUAUGGUAGCUGCGGGAAUUUUUCUUGUAGCCCGCCUGCUUCCUCUUUUUAUAGUUAUACCUUACAUAAUGAAUCUAAUAUCUUUGAUAGGUAUAAUAACGGUAUUAUUAGGGGCUACUUUAGCCCUUGCUCAAAACGAUAUUAAGAGGGGUUUAGCCUAUUCUACAAUGUCCCAACUGGGUUAUAUGAUGUUAGCUCUAGGUAUGGGGUCUUAUCAAAAUUAUUAACUCCAUCUAUAAAUCUUUUACAUCAAAAUUCAAAAAUGCAAAAAAAGUCUUUCUUUUUCUAUCUACGCCCAGUUUUUUGUUGUCUUACAUUUAUAAUUUAUACAUCUCCAUUUAUACAUGAAAACUACAUCAAAAUAAAAAGUGUAAAACCCAUUUUAUCUACCUAUGCAAACUUGAAUUUGAUUUUUUCCAUAAAUUGGUCAAGCUCGAAGAGAGGGUAUGCCUAAUUUUCAUUUUCAACCAAAUUCGAAUGAGACUCGUAGUUAAUCUGUUAAAGGAUACAUAAUUUUGAAAAAAAAAGAAUAUUUUAUUAUAUUAAUAGUCAUUUUUCUUUUAAUUAUAUGUAAAUAUAAAGAAAAUAUCGGAUAGUCUUUCCUACAAGAAAAGGUUCAUUUAUUGUAGUGGAAGACAAUCAAUCAGUUCCGCGAUGAAAAUGAACUAGUUAAUAAGUUUGAAUAAAUAAACUCAAAUAAUUCGUUUUUCUUUUAAGUUCUAAGACAUCCUAUGAUUUAUAUCAUACUUUUUUGGGGGGAAUUCGAACUAGCUAAUCAGAUGCGGGCCCCUCCUCGGGCGGAUUCCUCCUUUUGCUCCUCAGCCUACGGGGUAUUAGCAGCUGUUUCCAACUGUUGUUCCCCUCCCAAGGGCAGGUUCUUACACGUUACUCACCCGUCCGCCACUGGAAACACCACUUCCCGUCUGACUUGCAUGUGUUAAGCAUGCCGCCAGCGUUCAUCCUGAGCCAGGAUCGAACUCUUCAUGAGAUUCAUAGUUGCAUUACUUAUAGCUUCCUUGUUCGUAGACAAAGCCGGUUCGGAAUUGUCUUUCAUUCGAAGGCAUAACUUGUAUCCAUGCUUAUAUGUAUCCGCAGGAUUAAUUUGGAAAACCAGUAAGGAUAUGCAAGAACAAACAAUUUUUAUUGGAAACAUUCCUUUAAUGAACUCCCUCGAAACUUCUAUAGUAAAUGGAAUAUACAGAAUUGUGAUCAAUCAAAUAUUGCAAAGCCCCGGUAUCUAUUAUUGUAACACCCCGAACCCGAGUCCGACACCGGAGUCGAACACGAGGUGUUAACAAACUUUGAAAAAUUUCCAGACACUGCCCAAUCUGUGUACUAGUCGCUUUAAAAAUCAUAUCUUGAGCUUCACAACUCGAAAAUCAGUUUAGUGAUUUUUUCCUGAAACUAGACUCAUAUGCCCAUCUACAUAUUUUUUUCUAGAAUUUUUGGUCGGGCCAAUUAGUACAUUUUAUUAGUCAAAGUCUCCCAUGUUACAGGGAUCGACUACCCUGACCUUUGCGCAUUACGACUUGGAUAUCUCCUUGUACAGGGCUCCAAUACUGAUGCCGUUUGUUUCUAUAGAAACUAGACUCAGAGAGGAAUCUAUACAUAUAUGGUAUGACUCCAAAUUAUCUCUGGUUAAUUUAUAAUGAAUUUCAAAAGUCGGAACAUGGAAUCCAGAAACCGUUCUGGCCCUGUCUCACGAGAACCUGAAUAUCUCUUAACAUACUGUCCGUAUGAUUGUUUCGUUACUUUCCUAUGAAAGUAGAUUCAUCAAGGUUUGUUUACAUAAUUUAUUCACUAUUUAAUUCCAAUCCUACUAUUUUUAGUGAUUUUCCAAAUCUACAUCACUGAUGCUGUCAGCAUCUACCUUUAUGGUAGGCUUUACCUAUUUCAUGGUUCAACUAGCCCUUUUUGCAUACAUAGCACAAUUUAUGAAAGUGAUUAACCAUCCCCGUGGCCAAUCCUUGUCAAGCAUAUCCACACCAAAUGAUUAUAACAUUAUACUCAAACACAUAAAAGCCAUUUUCGCAUGGCUAUCCAAAAUUUAUACAAGUCCAAAGGGUCCACGACCCACAACAAACGGGUAGUCCUAUACAUGCCAUUUCGAAGUUCAACCAAAAUUGUACCAAAAGGGGGGGCUUUGAUAGUGUGGGCGACUUUGACUUCAAGAUCCCGAGUCCGAUAGCUGGAGAACCAAAUCUAUAAAACAGAGGAGCAAUGAAACGGAGUAAGCAAUUUAUGCUUAGUAAGUUUUGAGCAAGGAAUUCCAGCACAACAAAAGUAUAGCAUUCAUAUAGCUAAACGGAUAAUUUCAUAUGCACAAAUUUACGAUAUCGUACUUGCUUCACAUUAUCAACCCUUAUGUACAUACACAAAAGAUCAACUCAGCCAAAGGCCGGUAGCUCGUUUAUCAACUGAGCGAAUACUUAUUUGUAAGGGCUCAACCAAAUUCAAGCACAUACGUAACAUAUCCCAAUAUCGGGAUGUUUUUCGAGUAUUAGCUGGAAUUUUACAGCAAGCUCAUUCAUUACCAAAAUCACGUACCUUCGGAAUUUAACCGGAUUUAGCUCCUCGUUCAAGUGCCUUCGGGACAUAGCCCGGUUAUAGUAACUCAUUCAAUGCCUUCGGGACUUAACCCGGAUUUUAAAACUCGCACGAAUGCCUUCGGGACUUAACCCGGAAUUAGUAUCUCGCACAAAGGCCUUCGGGACUUAACCCGGAAUUAAUAACUCGCACAAAUACCUUCGGAUCUUAGUCCGGAUAUAGUCACUUAGCACAAAGCCUUCGGGACUUAGCCCGGACAGCAUUCAAUUAAUCAUGCACAUCUAACAAUAAUUCAUGGCACAUUCGUAUUUCUUUUUCAUUAGCAAAACUCAAACACAAGGCACAUACCAUCCUUGCACAUUCGGCUCAAUAGCCACACAUAGAGCAUGAUUUUAAUUUGCUUAAAACAUGAUUUAAUCACAUCGUAAUUUAAGCUCUCUUACUCAAGAACUUACCUCGGGUGUUGUCGAACGAUUCCACUAACUAUUCGACCACUUUUUCCUUCCCUUUAUCGGAUCUAUUUCCCCUUUUCUCUUGAGCUUAUUUAAACAAAUAAAUUGAUUUCAUCAUUUAGGCAUCAAAAAGAUGAACACGAAGCACUUAGCCCAUAUUUAUACAUUAGACAUCAAAGUCACAUACAUGUGAAAUCAUGCAUCAACACAACAUAUUAGCUAAUUUUUUCCCCCUUGGCCGAAUAUGCAUGUCUAUUUUUGGGGUCGAUUUCAACACUUAAUACACACAUAUACACACUAGUAAGGCAUCCUCCCCCUUUCCAUCAAUUUAACACAUGCAUUGCUCAUUAACAUGCAAAGUUACAUUCGGCCUUAGCACACAACUUGCUAGCCGAUUCUUCUCCAUUUAGCAACCAAUGCACAUAUGUGCUCACACAAAAAUGCUAAAAAGGAGGUUCAAGAAUCAUCAAGUCAUCAUCACAUGCAUCAUUAACAAACUUCAUAUUUAGCAUGCAAUGGCAUUAACACAACCUCCACCUAGGCCGAAUUUUAACUCAUCCUCUUGCCUCAUCAUCACCACAUCAAACAUCAACCAAGAAUGAUGCAUCCAUGGUCAAAUGUCAUUUCCAUCACAUAGCAAGAUUUAGACCAUGGGCUAGGUAGAACUCAAGCUAACAACUAAAACAUGCAUGCAUCUCAUGGAACAUCAUCAACAUACCUUAGCCUAGCUACAUGCAUGGCCGAAUCUCUUCACCUUUCUUCUUCUUUCCUCCUUAAAAUUUUUUUGGCCAAGGAUGGACCAAAGGAUGAGAAAAGGAUGAACAAAAAUUCUCUCCUUUCUUUUCUUUAGCUCACGGCAAUGGGGGGGGAACAAACAACUACACACAUUUUUUUUU
rnacentral:lncRNA from 1 species